rnacentral:rRNA from 1 species
GUCUAUGGCCAUACCACCCUGAACACACCUGAUCUUAUCUGAUCUCAGAAGCUAAGCAGAGUCAAGGCUGGUUAGUACUUUGAUGGGAGACCACCUAGGCAUACUGGGUGCUGUAGGCU